AGCUUCAGGAAUCAAAGGAGACUGGCCUCCAGUGACAGGCAUUUCAAGACCAGUGGAGGGAUACAGGGAAGAGACAUCUCUUCUUGGUAGCUUUCCUCUUCUCCAUGAGGACUCUGACCUCUUAGUUUGUCCAUGAAAACAAAGACCAAAAACCUCAGAGAUGAUGAGGCCCUAGGAGCAGGCCAGAGAUGUGGGAAGCAGCCAGGGUGUCUGGAGUGCCUUGGCUGAGUGAGCUCUUUCCAAAAGAGGUCCUGCAGAGGCAUGCAGAGCUGACUCAAGGCUGUGGCUUUGACACACUUAGUCCUUCAAUUUGGCUUAUGAUCUUUCUGAUAGAUACUAUUUUAAACUGACUGAUCGUCUACAUGGGCUCUUAUUUGUAGAUGUUGCUCAAAUCCCAGCUACAUCAGCCAAAGAUGACACCUACCGGCACACAUUCUUGCAGUUCAUUUUGUGUGCAGUUCUGGAACUCUCUACGUAAACCAGGCUGGCUUUCAAUUCACAGAGAUCCACCUGCCUCCUGCUUCUACCUCUCAAGUGCUGGAGUUAAAGGUGUGUGCCGCCAUGCUUGGCUCUACCAGCACUUCUUAAGAAUGACAGUGGAAGCCACAUGGUGUCCAGAAUGACUGCAUACCCAGCAGAACAUCCUGGAGCCGUAUAGACAUGCAAAAGGGUCCCUCUGCCAUUUCCACUGAAGGUGGGUAUGAUCUGCUUCUCAAGAAAUUGAUUGGGGAUGAAAUUCUUAUGAAUCAGGCCACUUUUCAACUGCCCUUGGAGAGGAGAUACUAUUUUAAGGCAUCCUUUGUAUUUGUCUCAAGUAAAGAUGAAAAGCCUACCUAA